rnacentral:rRNA from 1 species
GACGAACGCUGGCGGCGUGCCUAAUACAUGCAAGUGGGACGCAAGAGAACACACUGUGCUUGCACACCGUGUUUUCUUGAGUCGCGAACGGGUGAGUAACGCGUAGGUAACCUGCCUAUUAGCGGGGGAUAACUAUUGGAAACGAUAGCUAAUACCGCAUAAUAUUAAUUAUUGCAUGAUAAUUGAUUGAAAGAUGCAAGCGCAUCACUAGUAGAUGGACCUGCGUUGUAUUAGCUAGUUGGUAAGGUAAGAGCUUACCAAGGCGACGAUACAUAGCCGACCUGAGAGGGUGAUCGGCCACACUGGGACUGAGACACGGCCCAGACUCCUACGGGAGGCAGCAGUAGGGAAUCUUCGGCAAUGGACGAAAGUCUGACCGAGCAACGCCGCGUGAGUGAAGAAGGUUUUCGGAUCGUAAAGCUCUGUUGUAAGUCAAGAACGUGUGUGAGAGUGGAAAGUUCACACAGUGACGGUAGCUUACCAGAAAGGGACGGCUAACUACGUGCCAGCAGCCGCGGUAAUACGUAGGUCCCGAGCGUUGUCCGGAUUUAUUGGGCGUAAAGGGAGCGCAGGCGGUCAGGAAAGUCUGGAGUAAAAGGCUAUGGCUCAACCAUAGUGUGCUCUGGAAACUGUCUGACUUGAGUGCAGAAGGGGAGAGUGGAAUUCCAUGUGUAGCGGUGAAAUGCGUAGAUAUAUGGAGGAACACCAGUGGCGAAAGCGGCUCUCUGGUCUGUCACUGACGCUGAGGCUCGAAAGCGUGGGUAGCGAACAGGAUUAGAUACCCUGGUAGUCCACGCCGUAAACGAUGAGUGCUAGGUGUUAGGCCCUUUCCGGGGCUUAGUACCGGAGCUAACGCAAUAAGCACUCCGCCUGGGGAGUACGACCGCAAGGUUGAAACUCAAAGGAAUUGACGGGGGCCCGCACAAGCGGUGGAGCAUGUGGUUUAAUUCGAAGCAACGCGAAGAACCUUACCAGGUCUUGACAUCCCGAUGCUAUUCUUAGAGAUAGGAAGUUACUUCGGUACAUCGGAGACAGGUGGUGCAUGGUUGUCGUCAGCUCGUGUCGUGAGAUGUUGGGUUAAGUCCCGCAACGAGCGCAACCCUUAUUGUUAGUUGCCAUCAUUAAGUUGGGCACUCUAGCGAGACUGCCGGUAAUAAACCGGAGGAAGGUGGGGAUGACGUCAAAUCAUCAUGCCCCUUAUGACCUGGGCUACACACGUGCUACAAUGGUCGGUACAACGAGUUGCGAGCCGGUGACGGCAAGCUAAUCUCUGAAAGCCGAUCUCAGUUCGGAUUGGAGGCUGCAACUCGCCUCCAUGAAGUCGGAAUCGCUAGUAAUCGCGGAUCAGCACGCCGCGGUGAAUACGUUCCCGGGCCU